rnacentral:misc_RNA from 1 species
UUAAGUUCAGCGGGUAUUCCUACCUGAUUCGAGGUCAACCACUAAAAAGAUGGGGUUUUCCGGCAGGUCAACGUCCCACACCCAGAACGAGAAGUAACUACUGCGUUCGGUUUUGGGGCGCCGCCGCCGCUUGCUUUGGGAGGCUGCAGCGCAGUCCUCCAACGCCAGGCUGGGCCUGAGGGUUGCAAUGACGCUCGAAC